AUGAUCAGAAGGAGCACAGGUGAGUCCAUUGAUAGUCCACUGAUAGAACAAAGAACAUUCCACGGGACCCUCCUCCUGUUGUCCUUUGACCAUGUGCCCCAUGCGCCGGCUGGUUGGAUACUUAGCACUGGUGUCGGUGCCAUCGAUUUGCCCACCACAGCUGAGCUAUAUCCACUGGGUACCCUCGCCGCGCCCUCAGCAGGAUUGUGGGCAUCAAGAGCCAGGAGGUCCGGAGAGCACGGGUCCGACAGACAGUCAGACAGUCGUGCAGCUGUAUCACAGGAGGACAGACUGCGGUCAGAGCCUGAAAGUACUCGCGCUUGCGAGGAGAGAAGAGCAGACGGCUCGGCUGGAAGCCCCAGUGCCAGUUCUCGGAAGCGGAGUGGAAAGAGGAAGCAGUAAAGGCGCUGAAGAGCAGUGCGAGGCGGGGCCCACAGUUACAGACGGCAGAGCAAACACAGAGCGGAAGUCCUUGCCGGCACAGGGAUGAGCAUCCCCAGGCAGAGGGCACAGGGGUCGGCCGGGUCCAGCAAGCAGGCCGCAGACACCCUCCUCAGGCAGGCCCUGCGGAGCACCACAUCUCCCGGGCCUCUGUGCACAGGAACUGGGUUAAUUACGUUGAGUCCUCUUGGGUCAAACUUUCUGUCUUUAGACAGAUUCUGUUUUUGACUGAAUGUUUCCAUCAACUGUGUUCUCCCUGACAUUCAGGGAGGAGGGGGUAGGAGGAAGAGGAAGGAUACAAGGUUUUGUGUAUUAGUCUAAGAAUAAAUUUCUUUUUCAAACAAACGAACAAAAUUCCUAGGGACCCUUAGGAGUUUAGUAACAGCAGGUAGCCAGGCCUGGUGGUGCAGGCCUAUAAUCUCAGUACUUGAGAGGCUGAGGCAGGAGGAUUGCUGUGAGUUCAAGGCCAGCCUGGGCUACAUAGUGAGACCUUUUCUCAAAAACAAACAAACAAACAAGGGCCGGGGAUUUAGCUCAGCAGUUUGGUGGCCUGCCUUGCAAGGUUUGGUGGCCUGCCUUGCAAGCACAAGGACCCGAGUUCAAUCCCCGGUACCAAAACAAACAAACACCAGCAAGUAGUCUUGCUAUGUAGUUUGGGCUGGCUUUGAACUCACUAUGUGAACCUCCCAUCUCAGCAUCCCAAGUGCUGAGAUUACAGGUGUGCCCCUCCACGCCCUACUAGGUUAGCCA
rnacentral:lncRNA from 1 species